rnacentral:rRNA from 1 species
ACUCCUACGGGAGGCAGCAGUGGGGAAUCUUGGACAAUGGGGGCAACCCUGAUCCAGCCAUGCCGCGUGAGUGAUGAAGGCCUUAGGGUCGUAAAGCUCUUUCGCCAGGGAUGAUAAUGACAGUACCUGGUAAAGAAACCCCGGCUAACUCCGUGCCAGCAGCCGCGGUAAUACGGAGGGGGUUAGCGUUGUUCGGAAUUACUGGGGCGUAAAGCGCGCGUAGGCGGACCAGAAAGUUGGGGGUGAAAUCCCCGGGGCUCAACCCCGGAACUGCCUCCAAAACUCCUGGUCUUGAGUUCGAGAGAGGUGAGUGGAAUUCCGAGUGUAGAGGUGAAAUUCGUAGAUAUUCGGAGGAACACCAGUGGCGAAGGCGGCUCACUGGCUCGAUACUGACGCUGAGGUGCGAAAGUGUGGGGGAGCAAACAGGAUUAGAUACCCUGGUAGGAUAGCG